rnacentral:rRNA from 1 species
GUCGACCGCCUGGGGAGUACGGCCGCAAGGUUAAAACUCAAAUGAAUUGACGGGGGCCCGCACAAGCGGUGGAGCAUGUGGUUUAAUUCGAUGCAACGCGAAGAACCUUACCUACUCUUGACAUCCAGAGAACUUAGCAGAGAUGCUUUGGUGCCUUCGGGAACUCUGAGACAGGUGCUGCAUGGCUGUCGUCAGCUCGUGUUGUGAAAUGUUGGGUUAAGUCCCGCAACGAGCGCAACCCUUAUCCUUUGUUGCCAGCGGUU